rnacentral:rRNA from 1 species
GUUAGGAAUAUUGGACAAUGGGCGAAAGCCUGAUCCAGCCAUGCCGCGUGAACGAUGAAGGCCUUCGGGUUGUAAAGUUCUUUAGCCGAUGAUUAUAAUGACUGUAGUCGGAAAAUAAGCCCCGGCUAACUUCGUGCCAGCAGCCGCGGUAAUACGAAGGGGGCGAGCGUUAUUCGGAAUCACUGGGCGUAAAGCGUGCGUAGGCGGUCUCGUAAGUUAGGAGUGAAAGCCCAGGGCUCAACCUUGGAAUUGCUCUUAAUACUGCAAGGCUAGAAUCUCGGAGAGGAUAGCGGAAUUUCCAGUGUAGCAGUGAAAUGCGUAGAUAUUGGAAGGAACACCAGUGGCGUAAGCGGCUAUCUGGACGAGUAUUGACGCUGAGGCACGAAAGCGUGGGGAUCAAACAGGAUUAGAAACCCUGGUAGUCC